rnacentral:rRNA from 1 species
UACGGAGGAUGCGAGCGUUAUCCGGAUUUAUUGGGUUUAAAGGGUGCGUAGGCGGGCUGUUAAGUCAGCGGUAAAAUUUGGAGGCUCAACCUCCACGAGCCGUUGAAACUGGCGGUCUUGAGUGCACACAGGGAUGCCGGAAUUCAUGGUGUAGCGGUGAAAUGCUUAGAUAUCAUGAAGAACUCCGAUCGCGAAGGCAAGUGUCCGGGGUGCAACUGACGCUGAGGCUCGAAAGUGCGGGUAUCAAACAGG